rnacentral:rRNA from 1 species
AGAUGGCGACCGGCGCACGGGUGAGUAACACGUAUCCAACCUGCCGAUAACUCGGGGAUAGCCUUUCGAAAGAAAGAUUAAUACCCGAUGGCAUAAUUAGACCGCAUGGUCCUAUUAUUAAAGAAUUUCGGUUAUCGAUGGGGAUGCGUUCCAUUAGGCAGUUGGUGAGGUAACGGCUCACCAAACCUUCGAUGGAUAGGGGUUCUGAGAGGAAGGUCCCCCACAUUGGAACUGAGACACGGUCCAA